rnacentral:rRNA from 1 species
UACGAAGGGUGCAAGCGUUACUCGGAAUCACUGGGCGUAAAGCGUGCGCAGGCGGCUGCUCAAGUCAGGGGUGAAAGCCCAGAGCUCAACUCUGGAAUUGCCUUUGAGACUGAGUGGCUUGAGUACGGGAGAGGUGAGUGGAAUUCCCAGUGUAGAGGUGAAAUUCGUAGAUAUGGGAAGAACACCGGUGGCGAAGGCGGCUCACUGGCCCGUAACUGACGCUCAUGCACGACAGCGUGGGGAUCAAACAGG